rnacentral:rRNA from 1 species
GACGAACGCUGGCGGCGGGCUUAACACAUGCAAGUCGAACGGAAAGGCCCUGCUUUUUGGGGGUGCUCUAGUGGCGAACGGGUGAGUAACACGUGAGUAACCUGCCCUUGACUUUGGGAUAACUUCAGGAAACUGGGGCUGAUACCGGAUAGUAGCUCCUGCUGCAUGGUGGGGGGUGGCAAGUUUCGGCGGGUGGGGAUGGACUCGCGGCUUAUCAGCUCGUUGGUGGGGUAGUGGCUUACCACGGCUUUGACGGAUAGCCGACCUGAGAGGGUGAACGGCCACAUGGGGACUGAGAGACGGACCAGACUCCUACGGGAGGCAGCAGUGGGGAAUAUUGCACAAUGGGCGGAAGCGUAAUGCAGCAACGCCGCGUGCGGGAUGACGGCCUUCGGGUUGUAAACCGCUUUCGCCUGUGACGAAGCGUGAGUGACGGUAAUGGGUAAAGAAGCACCGGCUAACUCCGUG